UACGUAGGGGGCAAGUGUUGUCCGGAAUCAUUGGGCGUAAAGAGCGUGUAGGCGGCUCGAUAAGUCUGCUGUGAAAGUCCAGGGCUCAACCCUGGAAGGCCGGUGGAAACUGUCGGGCUAGAGUCCGGAAGAGGCGAGUGGAAUUCCCGGUGUAGCGGUGAAAUGCGCAGAUAUCGGGAGGAACACCAAUGGCGAAGGCAGCUCGCUGGGACGGUACUGACGCUGAGACGCGAAAGCGUGGGGAGCAAACAGG
rnacentral:rRNA from 1 species